rnacentral:rRNA from 1 species
AUGGAGUAUGUCCCGGAGACGCUCUACCGCGGGCUUAAGAACUACAGUAAUACCAAACAGGGGAUGUCACUUAUCUACGUCAAGCUUUACACCUAUCAGGGGGCUCGUGUACAUUCAUUACUAUUCGGAAUCUGUCACAGGGAUGUGAAGCCACAAAGGGCCUUUGGAUGGGAAUCAUCUUCGGUAUUUUGGUCCAGGUCUUGUUGUUCGUGGCCAUCACACUGCACACCAUCUGGCAAAAUAAGCAACCAUGUUGACAGCCUGGCAUCUCUUUGUUCCAUUCUAUUGACUUCAUGUGGCAUUAUGUAUGAAGCCCUUUGA